AUGUUAGACAUCAACUUAUCAAUCCUAUGUUGGAACGUUCGUGGACUAAACAGCCCUGACCGUCGUGCGACAGUACAUGAGACUAUUGCUUCUUCCUCAUGCCAUCUAGUUUGUAUCCAAGAAUCCAAACUCCAAUCCAUCGACCAGUUCACGGCUGCGUACCUCGGAGGUCAGCGUCUAAAAUCCUUUGCCCAGCGUCCUGCUGAUGGUACAAGAGGGGGUAUCUUGCUCCUUUGGGACGACAAUGUUGUGUCCAUUACCAAUGUACAGAUUGGUGCUUACUUUCUUUCGGCCUCUGUUUCCAUGAAAAACUGCAACCAUCCACAAUCCUUCAAGCUUACUACAGUUUAUGGCCCUACUCGCAACAAUCUCAAAGACGCUUUCUUCCUUGAGCUAAACUCUCAAAAGCCUCCUGUAGGAACCAAGUGGCUGGUCAAUGGUGACUUCAACCAAAUCUACAGGGCUAGAGAUAAAAACCGUGCAAAUGUAGAUCGCUCUCGACUGGUGAGAUUCCGCAACGCACUCAACUCCUGCGAGCUACAGGAAAUCCCCUUGCAAAAUAGGAAAUUCACUUGGAGUAACGAACAAAGCGAUCCAACGAUGAGCAAUCUUGAUGGUUUCUUCUGUAACGAAGAGUGGGAUGUCGCUUUCCCUACUCACAUUCUUCAAGCCCUAUCAUCUUCGCUCUCGGAUCACUGCCCUCUCUUGCUUGCCAAUGCAUCUGGACCGAAGAGACCCAAAUCAUUUCGUUUUGAGAACCACUGGAUCAAGAUGCCUGGGUUCCAGCAGGUUGUUAGUGACUCCUGGAAUGAGGAUUCUCCCCAUGGUGAGCCCUACCAACGGCUUUUCCAUAAGCUUAAGAGAACAAGUAGGAGGUUGCGUACUUGGAGCAAAAAAUUGUUCGCUGCUUCUAGACUCCAACUCCAUAUGGCACUGGAAAUCAUCCUACACCUAGAUUUGGCACAAGAACGUAGAGACCUCUCUCCUGACGAGAGGGACCUUAGGAAGAGACUAAAGAGGAAGGUCAUUGGCUUGGCGGUCCUGGAGAAGUCUAGAAAGCGUCAAAAUUCCAGAGUUACCAACCUUAAG
rnacentral:rRNA from 1 species